GACCCAGUGGUGAAAUGAAUCACGUCCGCAGCACCUGUAAACAAUGUCCACGUCUUGUAUUGCGGGAGUCCCCUGUUCGAAUCGGGGCUGGGUCA